UAUUUAUAGUCUAGCCUGCUCACUGACAAAAAGUGUUAAAUAGCCGCAGGUAUUUUGACCGUGCAAAGGUAGCAUAAUCAUUAGUUUUUUAAUUGGAAACUUGUAUGAAUGGUUGGACAAAGAAAAGACUGUCUCUUUUAUUAAAAUUGAAAUUAACUUCUAAGUGAAAAGGCUUAGAUUUUCUAGAGGGACGAUAAGACCCUAUAAAGCUUCAUAAGUUAAAUAAAUUAGAUGGAUUUUUAGAAUAAAAGUAAAUUUAGUAAGCUUAUUUAGUUGGGGCGACAAGGGUAUAAAAUUAAAUAACUGCUAUUAAGGUUAGACAAUUAUAUUUGGUUGGAUUGUAAUUGAUCCUCGCUAUGGAUUAAAAGAUUAAGUUACUUUAGGGAUAACAGCGUAAUUUCUUUUAAGAGUUCUUAUCAAAGGAGAAGUUUGCGACCUCGAUGUUGAAUUAAAAUGUCUUUAUAGUGCAGAAGCUAUAAAAGAAGGUCUGUUCGACCUUUAAUUUUUUACAUGAUUUGAGU
rnacentral:rRNA from 1 species